rnacentral:rRNA from 1 species
AGCUCCAAUAGCGUAUACUAAUGUUGUUGCAGUUAAAAAGCUCGUAGUCGGAUUUCAUGCAGAGAAGUAUAUUUGGCCCUUUGGGUUACAAAGAAACCAUCUCUGCAUUCUUUUGCUGUUACUGCGUUCUCUCACUUUAUUGUGCGAAGCGUAUGUUCGGCAUCUUUUACUUUGAGAAAAUUAGAGUGUUCAAAGCAGACAUUUUUGUCUUGAAUAUUACUCAUGGAAUAAUAAUAUAUGACUUCGGUCUUCCUUUGUUGGUGUUUGUAGGCUGGAGUAAUGAUUGAUAGGGACAGUUGGGGUCAUUAGUACUCCUUAGCGAGAGGUGAAAUUCUUAGACCUUAGGAAGACUAACUACUGCGAAAGCAUUUGACAAGGAUGUUCCCG